UGGAGCUCAGGGUCGGGCUAAAGAGGGUAUAAUAUCUAUUAUAAACUGGGUGGUUCCAGCCCUGAAUGCUGAUUGGCUGACAGUCGUGGUACAUCAGACCAUAUACCACACUCCCUUGUGCCUUAUUGCUUAAGUGUAUCAGUGUAUUACAUCUACUAUAUAACUCACUCCUGAUCUAUCAUCUCAGCCUGGCGGUGCUACAUAUCUACUAUAUAAUAUAGGUCCUGCUCAAUCAUCUCAGCCUGUCGGUGCUGCAGGUACAUAUCUACUAUAUAAUAUAACUCCUGCUCUAUCAUCUCAGCCUGGUGGUGCUGCAGGUACAUAUCUACUAUAUAAUAUAACUCCUGCUCUAUCAUCUCAGCCUGGCGGUGCUGCAGGUACAUAUCUACUAUAUAAUAUAACUUCUGCUCUAUCAUCUCAGCCUGGUGGUGCUACAUAUCUACUAUAUAAUAUAACUCCUGCUCUAUCAUCUCAGCCUGGUGGUGCUGCAGGUACAGUAGGUAUAUCUAGUGUAGUGUAUAUCUACUAUAUAAAAUAACUCACUCCUGCUCAAUCAUCUCAGCCUGGGGGUGCUGCAGGUACAUAUCUACUAUAUAAUAUAACUCCUGCUCUAUCAUCUCAGCCUGGCGGUGCUGCAGGUACAUAUCUACUAUAUAAUAUAACUCCUGCUCGAUCAUCUCAGCCUGGCUGUGCUACAUAUCUACUAUAUAAUAUAACUCCUGCUCAAUCAUCUCAGCCUGGGGGUGCUGCAGGUACAAUAGGUACAUAUCUACUAUAUAAUAUAACUCUUGCUCUAUCAUCUCAGCCUGGCGGUGCUACAUAUCUACUAUAUAAUAUAGCUCCUGCUCAAUCAUCUCAGCCUGGGGGUGCUGCAGGUACAAUAGGUACAUAUCUACUGUAUAAUAUAACUCCUGCUCUAUCAUCUCAGCCUGGCGGUGCUGCAGGUACAUAUCUACUGUAUAAUAUAACUCCUGCUCUAU
ensembl:lncRNA